GACGAACGCUGGCGGCGUGCCUAAUACAUGCAAGUCGAACGCAGUGGGGACGGGUGAGUAACACGUGGGUAACCUCCCAUCAGAGUGGAUAACACUUGGAAACAGGUGCUAAACCGGUACUGAUGGAUGGACCCGCGGUGCAUUAGCUAGUGGGUGGGGUAACGGCUCACCAAGGCCACGAUGCCUAGCUGGCCUGGGAGGGGGAUCGGCCACACUGGGACUGAGGCGCGGCCCAGACUCCGAGGGGAGGCAGCGGUGGGGAAUGUGCGGCAAUGGGCGAAAGUGUGACCGGGCGAUGCGGCGUGAGUGAAGAAGGUUUUCGGAGCGUAAAGCUCUGUUGGUAGGGAGGCGGUAUCUAACGAGAAAGCGACGGCUAACUACGUGCCAGCGGCCGCGGUAAUAC
rnacentral:rRNA from 1 species